GGCUUCAACGCCUUCCCCUGCGCUUCCUCCCCUACAUUAUUUCCCUUCUUUAUCCCUUAUUCGUCGUUCCUGCUCCCUCCCCUUUCACAAGCUCCGCCCAAGUGACCGUCAUCUGCGAUCGGGUACUGCGCUCAUUGGCCGUGGUGUUGUUCCAGGUGAAUUCUGAACUGAUACUAAAGUCUCUGAUACUUUUCAAGUGUACUCGUUUGCCGAUCCUGAUACAGGCGCGUAUCAGUGACAAAGUAUCAGGUUGAUACUUUUCGACCCACCUCUAGCCGGGAAGCCUUCAUUUCACAAACGAGAGAGCCACACCAGACGUUCCCCGAAGUUCAUGCUCGCUUUUUUUUUCCGUUCUAUCUCAUUGUAUAAACCGGUGUGGCAUUAAAUUUUGCGGUCGAUUAGGAUAGGUUAGCUACAUUAUAAAUUAUUUAAAAUAUUGUGGAUGGUUGGUUAUAUUAGGUAAGUAUAGCUACAUUAAAAAUACUGUAAAAUCAUUUUAUGGUUGCUUAGCAAAUAACUUUUUAAUAUGUAGCUAUCCAGGGCUAGGAAACCGUUUACAUGAUUUCACAGUAUCUUUAAUGUAGCUAUCCUAACCAAAUCAACCGUCCACAAUGUUUAAAAGUAUUUGUAAUGUAGCUAACCUAACCUAAUUGACCAUUAGUUAUCGUGAGUUACAAUGAACAAAAAAAAAAAACGAACAUGCACAGUCGGGAGUUUGGCUCUCUUCUGUGAAAAGAUGGCUUCCCAGGGAUGCCGGCCUUCACCCCUCCUCGGAAUCGAGGUUUCUAGUGAUACCUGAUACGACAUUCGCAAUCACUAACGCGUCUAUACAUUCAUUAGCUUCGGAUUCGUGUUUUAAUUUGUUUUAAGUUUUGUGGCAUAAGAUUGGUUUAAAACGUUAUAAGUGUAGUUGAAAUGUGUAUCGCGGCGCGGGAGAGAAACAGCUGUGGGCCGCGACCUAGUCCCAGUUGGAGCAUUGAUGAAGGCUGCUGGUGUGUUCUGGCUGAUAUACAGCACCAUGCACCAUCUCACUAUCUUCGUGAGGGGCUUGUGAGUCUUCCAGCCUGCAGAUUCCCGGACUUCAGCAGCAGCAGCCUGUAUGGCCAGCGUGAGUCGAAGUAAGGUCUUUAACUUACAUGAACCUUUGUGCUGUAUUGUCUAGAAUUAAUUGUGCAUAGUGUGCCUUUCGCCUGACCUUGAAUUACUGCAUAAUCAUAGUGUUCUGUUUGACCAAGUUGAAUGUGCUUGGGGACAAUUUUAGGUAGUUUCAAUUUUUGACCUCCCUACCUGUUGCAUCAACUAAUGCUACCUGCUUGUAACAGUAGGUAAACAUUUAGACUUGGAAUUUAAUGUAAUUUUCUUUUUGUGAGCAUGAUCAUUGUGCAUACAGCUUUGACUUAUUAUUGGUAGGUAACUUUGUAGUAAUAAUGAGCCCACUUAUUUUGCAUUGGAGUUUUUUUCAUUGAAUUUACAUGACAUAAAUUUUGCUCAGGCUUUUCGAUAAUACUUAAUGUGAUGCACAUUAUGACACAUUUCUGUGCAAAACUUUUUGUGUUACACCUUUGAAAUUCACUCUCUUACAAACUCUUUGUAGCAUUUACUCUUGGCGAAUUAGAUGCUCUACAUAAUAAAGGUAUUCCUGUGAUCAUGUCAUUGCCCAAAGGAUUUGAAAUAAGUUUGCACGAAGGUGGAUGUGUGCACGGCUCAGUAUCAGUAAUCGUCGCGUGGAGACUGUUAACGGCAUACAUGAGGACAUUGUGUAGUAAAUGAAUAUUAUGGUGAGCAUAUUGUGGAUAAACAUAUGACCCCAGUUUACUUUUAGAAAUUGUACUUUAUUGCAGUUUACUAGAGUGCAGCGAGCAACCCGCCCAGUGUGGGGCAGCUUACCACGGAACUGACACCACGCAUUUGGUUAAACAUAGAGCAGUUUUACACAUGUGAACUUUGCAGCUGACGAGUACAGAACUGUAGCGUGUCCUUAGCUGCAGUGUUUGACUGUUGAAAUUUAACAUCGUUUAUGAAUUUUGCACAAGCAGUGGUUCAAUGUAUUAUUAUAAAAAACCAUUGAUUAAAAUUUGGGUGCUAUUAAAAUAUUUUUGGUCCUAACUAUUACAAUAAUGUAUUUUUUUAUAUUAAACAUUACGUUUAUUUCUUCUUAGCUUCGAUUGAACUUGUAGUAAUCUUAUGCUAAUGUUGGCCUAUCUCAUAUUACGUUUGAUUUAUUUUGUAAUUUAUUGUAAAGAAAAUGUAAUUUAUUUUAUGAUUAAUUUGGCAUUCUGGAUGCCUGGAAUCAUGCUUUUUAUUUGAUUAAACUUUUUGCCCUUGUGUUUUUGCUAACCUUGAGAAACCUGCCUUUGAUUAAGUGUCUUGCAAUGCCUCUGUGACUUUGUCUGUUCACGGAUCAGUUAGGGCAUUUAUGCUAUUUCUCAUUUGUUUGCAAUUUGUGUGGAGAAUAGUUAACUUUGUUGGUUUGGCCCUAAAAGAGGUUACAUAGAUAAGCAUUGGCUGAACACACAUUGUCAAAUGAAAUAUUUGUGCGAAAUAUAAAUCAUUGUACCAUUUUAAUUGGGGUCAAGUAAAUGGAUGAUUGUUGAAAAAACUUACAGAAGAUUCAGAAGUUUUCAAAUAACUAUAAAAGCAUCAGCAUGCAAAUCAUUCAAAAAAUAUUAAAUAUUGUUUAAUUAAUCUUCCUUGUCUCUGCAGAGUCUUUCAACCCACUCGUUCAGUCAGGCAGCCUACAAAAAAUUUAACUGGAUAUUGAAGCAAACCUGAAAAAAAUGAUUUUACAAACUUGAAUAGUUUUACAUUUACUUGCCAAUAAAUAUAUACUUUCCUGUCAAGUGUUAUAUUAUGUAUAUGUAUAAUAUAUAUAUUCCUGUAAAAAUAUGAACAUUUCAUUAUUAAACUGCACAUAAUUAAGACUCGUGCCUUAUCCACUCUUUACACACAAAGUAAUGAGAAAUAAAACUAAUGUAUCCCUUAUAGUAGGGAUGUUGAAGUAGAUACUAAACUGCAUAUUUUAAGAUACCAGUUGCUAGGAAACAUUACACUACAGAGAGAAGGGAAUCCCAACCCAGAAUGACGUGCCACAGUGAAUGCAGUAAAGCAACUAGAUGAAAAUAUGGUGAUCUGAUAUCAUUCAGUUUAAAGCAAUGUCAAAUUUACUUCGGAAGCAAAUAUCUCCUGUUUAAAUGUAUGCAAAGUGAGUUGUAUUUGAAAAAAAAUAUAUAUUAAUAUCAAAAUUAGCAAUUGAACUACAACCCUUUUUUAAUUCACAUUCGUCAUUAAUUGGCCUGUCAACUGUUCUUGGCUUGAGGUUGAGUGGUGUCAUGUACUUAAACAUUAUAAACUGAAGUCGACCAGGGCUACGCCCCCUAGAGCCCGAUAUGUUACCACCCUCCUACCCCUCUUUCUUCCGAAUAUCCCGCGGCCGAUGUAUGCGUGUGUGAACGCCCGGCAAGAGGCAGAGUCGAGCCAGUGCCUCGUUCCCUGCUAAUUUAUAUUUAAUUAUAAUUAUUGUAUUUCUUUAAUUAUCCCUAGUCUUGUGUAUGUAAGGUUCAGGGCAUAAUACUUUUUCAUUUGUUUUCCUUUCGGCAGAAAUGCUAAAGGGCCGCUAUAGACUCAGGCUUGCCGAAGGCCAUCCAGUUACUGUAACUUUAUUUAAUUCUUUCUUGUUUAACUUAUUUAUUACGUGGUUGCAGUUCAUGAACCGCCAGGGUAAAAUGUAAAGAGGUGUUUGGUAACUUAAUUGGUUUUAUUAAAUGUGCCACAGCGUGAUACGGCUCGGAAUAACGGUACUAUCCGUCUUGGCGCGCAACGCCAUUGUCCUGCCUCCCCGGCGGCCAUCGCUCGCCCCAGUCGCUUCGCAUCACCACCCGAGGUAGGACGCGCUCUGCACUCCGAGGACUUCAACUUCGCUAUACUGACCCGGUCAUUAUGUUCUGUGUAAUUCUCCGUAAUCAUUUUCGCUAGCCUCGGAGCCUACCUCGGGGGUCGGCUGUUUCAUUGAUUACCUUGUAAUCCGUAAGGAGUUCCGAAAUCACCACGAACGUAACGUCCGACCACGUGGUGGCCGGACAGCCCGUAAACCGAUCGCGCCGCAAGGCUUUUAAACAGUUUUACCAUAUUUGAAGUUCUUUCUGUAAUGCGCUUAAGCUGGAAUUGUACCAUGUAGUCUACAAUAAAUCACAGCGUUAUCGAACUUGUCUUUUUUCGUUUAACCACGUGUGCACUCCAGGUUGGCGUGAGGGACGCCAUUAAGAGCCCACGUUGUUACUACAUAGCGUACCCGUCGCUGAGAGCGGGUCCAGGUCAACUAUUCUGUAGGCAGUGCACGGGGGUCGAGUCAUUUCCCCACACGGGCGACGUCACGCCCAGAGUUAAGUUUCUCAUCCGGGUUCGUGCCCCCUAGACACGGUGACGCCCUCUCUAUUUAACGUCUCUCUAACGCCCCGACGACCCCCGGCAACAUCAAAGCUAAGACAUUAACUUACAGUUUUUUUAAGGUUUUAAAACAAUAGUUGUACUUACCCAUGAAUAUUUUCAUUUCGUCCUGCUCUCGCAAGGUCAGAGAUCUAAAAUGCUUGAUCUCCUUGAUACAGCGAGGUGGAAUGUAGUGGAAUACACAUUUCAGAUGAAAGUAUAGUAGAACUUCCAAACUGUUAGGUUUCGCCUGCCAAAAAAAAAAAAGAAAA